rnacentral:tRNA from 1 species
UAUGUUCUAGUAUAAAAGUACCUAGAUAUUUGAAAUCUAAAGUUCAAACAUAG